UACGAAGGGGGCGAGCGUUGUUCGGAUUUACUGGGCGUAAAGAGCGCGCAGGCGGUCGGUCAAGUCGCGUGUGAAAGCCCCCGGCUCAACUGGGGAGGGUCACGCGAUACUGAUCGACUCGAAGGCAGGAGAGGGAAGUGGAAUUCCCGGUGUAGUGGUGAAAUGCGUAGAUAUCGGGAGGAACACCAGUGGCGAAGGCGACUUCCUGGCCUGUUCUUGACGCUGAGGCGCGAAAGCUAGGGGAGCAAACGGG
rnacentral:rRNA from 1 species